GACUGUGUGACCAUUUUUCAAAGCAGAUGCAGAUACGACAGAAUCCAAAUGAAUCACUCUGUUCUGAUCGGCAGCUCAACUUCAUUUAGUUAGUUUUUAGUUUCAAUAUGAAUAUCACAGCAUGGUUGGAGUGCUUCAUUUUUGAGCAAAUUCUGCCACCCAUUUUUGCAAUGCAAGUAGAUGUACAUGUCCUCUGGGUGGCAGCAUGUUUAGAACGUGGAGUCUCCCAAGCCUCCAAGGGAAAACUGACACACAUGGAUCCAAUAUAGGCAAACCUUAGUAGAAGUAGACGACAUGGAGCCAUCCUUCGUUCAGAGGAGGAAGUAAGACAGUUAUCAUCAGCUCCAUGUAAAACACUUUUCAUUUUUCGUUGUGAUUGUCACUGUAUAAGGAACCACUAUGAUCAGGUUUUCUGUUCUAGUCUGCCUAUCAGUGCUGCUGUUUAGCACUUCAGCCAAGCCAUACAGGCCCAGGGAAAAAGAGUUGGGCAAAGCAGUCCAGGACACUAUAGUUUUUGAUCAUCCCAGUGGGAAGAUGAUCCUGGGAAUGAAGGAGGUGGAGCCACCACAGGACAUGGACAUUGCAGAUUUUGACAAUGAUCCCAACAUGUUGAUUUGGAAAGUUGUAAAAGAAGAAAUACAGCAGAAAUAUGACAGACCUGAAGAGGAUGAAGAUGCUUUCUACCACUCCUUUCACAUAAAACGUCCAGCUGAUGCAAAACAGCCUGAAAACUACUUUCAGUUAUUGGAACAUGAUCAGGUACGGAUGUAUGACAAACCAGAAGAAGACAGGGAUGAUCUAUACCACGGUAUGUUUGAUGUAGCUGAAGAGCCAAUGAGAGGAGAGAAGGAUGUAAUUGGAGGUAAUGGCAGGCCCAUGUACUUAAGCCCUGAAGUGGACAAAGACGGCCUGUACCACGCAGAUGUUAAAGAACAUCAGUCUGACCAGCAGGCUCUCCCGAUAAAUAUAUUCCCUAUUCGCCCUAAAAGGGUGCACGCAGAGCCAGAGGUAGACCUGGAUGACCUUUAUCAUAAGCAAUGA
ensembl:lncRNA